rnacentral:rRNA from 1 species
GGGCCCGCACAAGCGGUGGAGCAUGUGGUUUAAUUCGACGCAACGCGAAGAACCUUACCGGGUCUUGACAUCCCCUGAAAUAGGUGAAAGCCGAAAUAGACUUUGGUCACAGGGAGACAGGUGGUGCAUGGUUGUCGUCAGCUCGUGUCGUGAGAUGUUGGGUUAAGUCCCGCAACGAGCGCAACCCCUAUCUUAGUUGCCAUCAGGUCAAGCUGGGCACUCUAAAGAGACUGCCGGUGACAAACCGGAGGAAGGUGGGG